rnacentral:tRNA from 1 species
GGGGUUGUAGCUCAGUGGUAGAGCACUUACUUGCCUCACAGGCAUGAGGCCCUGGGUUCGAUCCUCAGCACCA